UGAUGGAGCUGUGUGGCUCAGUGGUUAGGUGCUGUACUUGGGCCUGUAGGUGUGAGUCUGUGUGUGGCUGUGUUUAACAGGUUGAUGAAGAUUAGCAUGAAGGUCCUGGAGAAGGUCACAGUCAAAGUGGAGCUCAGAAUGGAGCAGCUGAUCGAGAGGACCACGAGAGACAAGGAAGUGUUGGAUCAGAGGCAGUUGGUGUGUGUCC